rnacentral:snoRNA from 1 species
AAGACUAUACCUUCAGGGAUCAUUUCUAUAGUUCGUGACUAGAGAAGUUUCUCUGAUUGUGUAGAGCACCGAAAAACAAAAAAAAAAAAAAAGAGAGAUUUAUAUAUCAGAGU